rnacentral:rRNA from 1 species
UACGUAGGGGGCAAGCGUUGUCCGGAAUUAUUGGGCGUAAAGAGCGUGUAGGCGGCCAGAUAAGUCUGCUGUGAAAUCUCGAGGCUCAACUUCGAGCUGUCGGUGGAAACUAUCUGGCUAGAGUCCGGAAGAGGAGAAUGGAAUUCCUGGUGUAGCGGUGAAAUGCGCAGAUAUCAGGAAGAACACCCGUGGCGAAGGCGGUUCUCUGGGACGGUACUGACGCUGAGACGCGAAAGCGUGGGGAGCGAACAGG